UACGGAGGGUGCAAGCGUUAUCCGGAUUCACUGGGUUUAAAGGGGGCGCAGGCGGGCCUGUAAGUCAGUGGUGAAAUACCUGAGCUCAACUCGGGAACUGCCAUUGAUACUAUGGGCCUUGAAUGACGUUGAGGUUUGCGGAAUGGGUCAUGUAGCGGUGAAAUGCAUAGAUAUGACCCGGAACACCGAUUGCGAAGGCAGCAGGCUAAACGUAAAUUGACGGUUGAGGCCCGAAAGCGUGGGAUGAGCAAACAGGA
rnacentral:rRNA from 1 species